UACGAAGGGGGCUAGCGUUGUUCGGAAUUACUGAGCGUAAAGGGCUCGUAGGUGGCCAACUAAGUCAGACGUGAAAUCCCUCGGCUUAACCGGGGAACUGCGUCUGAUACUGGAUGGCUUGAGUUCGGGAGAGGGAUGCGGAAUUCCAGGUGUAGCGGUGAAAUGCGUAGAUAUUCGCAAGAACACCAGUGGCGAAGGCGGCUCACUGGCCCGGUACUGACGCUGAGGUGCGAAAGCGUGGGGAGCAAACAGG
rnacentral:rRNA from 1 species